rnacentral:lncRNA from 1 species
ACAGCCAAGAGGGAGGCCGGGCCAGGGGCUGGUGGCUUCCUCCGCGAGCUCUGCCAGUUUCUGGCCUCAGGUCCUGAGUUGUUAUCGCAAGUCCAGGAAGAAUGAGGUUACUCAGGCAACUGGAGGGUGAGGAUGGAGAAGAGCUUUAUUGAGCAACAGAACAGCUCUCAGCAGAGAGGAGACCCAAAGUGGGUAGCUCCUACCUGCAGGAAGGUUUCUGAAGGGGGCCAAGAUGGCCCAAUAGGAACAGCUCCAGUCUGCAGCUCCCAGAAAGACCAACGCAGAAGGCAGAUGAUGAAUUAGAGCGGUUGUUAUCGAAUCUGCCACCAGAGGGCGAUCCAGGCUGAAGAUCUCUCUCUCUGCGGAAGCCAGCCACCGCUCUCCAAGGACUCUCGAGCAGCUCCAUCUACAGAUUCACAUGGAGAAGAAUUAAGGGUUCCUGCCAAUCACCAGCACCACUUUGCCAGCCUUGUAAGUGGGCCACCUUGGAAUUGGAGCCUCCAGUUCCUACUGACAUCUGACUGCAACAUCAUGAGAGACCCUGAGUUUGAACCACCCAGCUGAGCUGCUUCUGAGCUAACCCACUGAAACCGUGAAAGUACCUGAAUGAAACAACACCCAGUAGCCACUAGCACACCUAGCUCCCAGAUCUGUUUUUGAUGCCAUUCUUCAGUAAAAGGAAGCAAGGCUGCUUGGAGAAAUUGCUAUCAAGGACUGGGGUAGAAAAUAUACAAGAUGAAAUUGGAGCAUCUUGUAGUGCUUGAAAACAGUUGGCAUCUGUGUGAAGAUGUGAAUGGAGGAGGCAGAGUAGGCAGUGAGUGCCGCAGCCACAGCUUGUGUUCUCUGCAGCCCUGGCACAGAAGAUAGGAACACUCAUGGGGGAUGCGGCCACUGUGAUGUC